rnacentral:sRNA from 1 species
CGCUUGAACCUGGGAGGUGGAGGUUGCAGCGAGCCAAGAUUGCGCCACUGCACUCCAGCCUGGGCGACAGAGCGAGAUUCCGUCUCAAAACAAACAAACCAAACCCUUAUCACUGAAGAAUCAAGCUUCCAUAUGUUUCCCUAUCAGUCUCAGAUAGCAGUUUUCGAAGAGUUUCUACUAAGAGCGACAAAGUAUAACAAGUUACAAAUGCUUGGAGAUGAUCUGAGAACUGAUAAGAAGAUAAUUCUGGUUGAAGAUUUACCUAACCAGUUUUAUCGGGAUUCUCAUACUUUACAUGAAGUUCUAAGGAAGUAUGUGAGGAUUGGUCGAUGUCCUCUUAUAUUUAUAAUCUCGGACAGUCUCAGUGGAGAUAAUAAUCAAAGGUUAUUGUUUCCCAAAGAAAUUCAGGAAGAGUGUUCUAUCUCAAAUAUUAGUUUCAACCCUGUGGCACCAACAAUUAUGAUGAAAUUUCUUAAUCGAAUAGUGACUAUAGAAGCUAACAAGAAUGGAGGAAAAAUUACUGUCCCUGACAAAACUUCUCUAGAGUUGCUCUGUCAAGGAUGUUCUGGUGAUAUCAGAAGUGCAAUAAACAGCCUCCAGUUUUCUUCUUCAAAAGGAGAAAACAACUUACGGCCAACGAAAAAAGGAAUGUCUUUAAAAUCAGAUGCUGUGCUGUCAAAAUCAAAACGAAGAAAAAAACCUGAU